rnacentral:rRNA from 1 species
UACGGAGGGAGCUAGCGUUGUUCGGAAUUACUGGGCGUAAAGAGUACGUAGGCGGUUAUUCAAGUCAGAGGUGAAAGCCCGGGGCUCAACCCCGGAACUGCCUUUGAAACUAGAUAGCUAGAGUCUUGGAGAGGUUAGUGGAAUUCCGAGUGUAGAGGUGAAAUUCGUAGAUAUUCGGAAGAACACCAGUGGCGAAGGCGACUAACUGGACAAGUACUGACGCUGAGGUACGAAAGCGUGGGGAGCAAACAGG